rnacentral:rRNA from 1 species
GGGUUGUGAGGUUAAGCGACUAAGCGUACACGGUGGAUGCCCUGGCAGUCAGAGGCGAUGAAGGACGUGCUAAUCUGCGAUAAGCGCCGGUAAGGUGAUAUGAACCGUUAUAACCGGCGAUUUCCGAAUGGGGAAACCCAGUGUGACUCGUCACACUAUCAUUAACUGAAUCCAUAGGUUAAUGAGGCGAACCGGGGGAACUGAAACAUCUAAGUACCCCGAGGAAAAGAAAUCAACCGAGAUUCCCCCAGUAGCGGCGAGCGAACGGGGAGGAGCCCAGAGCCUGAAUCAGCAUGUGUGUUAGUGGAAGCGUCUGGAAAGGCGCGCGAUACAGGGUGACAGCCCCGUACACAAAAGCGCAUGUGCUGUGAGCUCGAUGAGUAGGGCGGGACACGUGGUAUCCUGUCUGAAUAUGGGGGGACCAUCCUCCAAGGCUAAAUACUCCUGACUGACCGAUAGUGAACCAGUACCGUGAGGGAAAGGCGAAAAGAACCCCGGCGAGGGGAGUGAAAAAGAACCUGAAACCGUGUACGUACAAGCAGUGGGAGCACCCUUUGGGGUGUGACUGCGUACCUUUUGUAUAAUGGGUCAGCGACUUAUAUUCUGUAGCAAGGUUAACCGAAUAGGGGAGCCGGAGGGAAACCGAGUCUUAAUCGGGCGUUAAGUUGCAGGGUAUAGACCCGAAACCCGGUGAUCUAGCCAUGGGCAGGUUGAAGGUUGGGUAACACUAACUGGAGGACCGAACCGACUAAUGUUGAAAAAUUAGCGGAUGACCUGUGGCU